rnacentral:rRNA from 1 species
AUUGAACGCUGGCGGCAUGCCUUACACAUGCAAGUCGAACGGCAGCACGGGUGCUUGCACCUGGUGGCGAGUGGCGAACGGGUGAGUAAUACAUCGGAACGUACCUUAUCGUGGGGGAUAACGCAGCAAAAGCUGUGCUAAUACCGCAUAUGCCCUGAGGGGGAAAGCGGGGGAUCGCAAGACCUCGCGCGAUUAGAGCGGCCGAUGCCUGAUUAGCUUGUUGGUGGGGUAAAAGCCCACCAAGGCGACGAUCAGUAGCUGGUCUGAGAGGACGAUCAGCCACACUGGGACUGAGACACGGCCCAGACUCCUACGGGAGGCAGCAGUGGGGAAUUUUGGACAAUGGGGGCAACCCUGAUCCAGCAAUGCCGCGUGAGUGAAGAAGGCCUUCGGGUUGUAAAGCUCUUUCGGCUGGGAAGAAAUCGCACAGGCUAAUACUCUGUGUGGAUGACGGUACCAGCACAAGAAGCACCGGCUAACUACGUGCCAGCCGCCGCAGUAA